UACGAAGGGGGCUAGCGUUGCUCGGAAUUACUGGGCGUAAAGGGCGCGUAGGCGGGCCGUUUAGUUUGAGGGGAAAGCCCAGGGCUCAACCCUGGAAUUGCCUUUAAUACUGGCGGCCUUGAGUAUGGCAGAGGUGUGUGGAACUCCGAGUGUAGAGGUGAAAUUCGUAGAUAUUCGGAAGAACACCAGUGGCGAAGGCGACACACUGGGCCAUUACUGACGCUGAGGCGCGAAAGCGUGGGGAGCAAACAGG
rnacentral:rRNA from 1 species